GACAGAGGGUGCAAACGUGUUCGGAUUUACUGGGCGUAAAGCGCGUGUAGGCGGCUUGGCAAGUUGAAUGUGAAAGCCCACGGCUCAACCGUGGAAGCGCAUCCAAAACUGCUUCGCUCGAGUCUCGGAGAGGAAGGUGGAAUGCUUGGUGUAGAGGUGAAAUGCGUAGAUAUCGAGAGGAACACCUGCGGCGAAGGCGGGUAGCUGGGCCGACACUGACGCUGAGGCGCGAAAGCCAGGGGAGCAAACGGA
rnacentral:rRNA from 1 species